rfam:Cryptosporidium muris RN66 scf_1106632373407 genomic scaffold, whole genome shotgun sequence.
GGGUCAUUGGUCUAGUGGUAGGAUUCGCGUUUCGGGUACACGAGGUCCCGGGUUCAAUCCCCGGAUGACCCC